CUGUGAAGCAUCCUGUUAAGUCAGGCAACGAGCGAGACCCACGCCAACAGUUGCCAGCUCGUCCUCCGGGAUGGUGGGGACACUGUUGGGACCGCCUCUGCUAAAGAGGAGGAAGGAAUGGGCAACGGUAGGUCAGCAUGCCCCGAAUUAUCUGGGCUACACGCGGGCUACAAUGGGUGGGACAAUGGGUAUCGACACCGAAAGGUGAAGGCAAUCUCCUAAACCCAUCCGUAGUUCGGAUUGUGGGCUGCAACUCGCCCACAUGAAGCUGGAAUCUGUAGUAAUCGUGUCUCAAAAUGGCACGGUGAAUAUGUCCCUGCUCCUU
rnacentral:rRNA from 1 species